rnacentral:misc_RNA from 1 species
UCAAACUUGGUCAUUUAGAGGAAGUAAAAGUCGUAACAAGGUCUCCGUUGGUGAACCAGCGGAGGGAUCAUUAUAGAGUGUUUUACUCGCCCAACCCUUUGUGAACUUACCCUGUUCCCUUGCCUCGGCGGCGUCCCUCCCGCCCCCCUCCAGUUCCUGGCGGGGGCGCGGCGGGGGGCCCGCCGGCGGCGAGGACCCAAACCCUUUGAAUUUGCAGCGUUAUACCUCUGAGUGAACAAGCAAAAAGUUAAAACUUUCAACAACGGAUCUCUUGGCUCUGGCAUCGAUGAAGAACGCAGC